CUUAUGGCAAGAAAGAAGAAACCUGAUCAUUCCCUACGCAUGAUGUCCGAUGUGGUACAUAAGAGAACAUCAGUAGCACUGCCAUCAGAGGAGGCAUCACAUCGACCACUAUCAGAGGGGCCAUUAGUGCCACCACCAUUUGACCACCCAUCGCAGCGACCACCAUUAGUGGCACCACCAUUAGAGGAGGCAUCCCAGCGACCACCAUUAGAGGGGCCAUUAGUGCCACCACAUCGACCACUAUCAUUGGCACCACAGCAGCUAUCAUUUACUCAACCUCCAGGCCUAUCACCGGUGUGUCCACCAUUAGUGGCACCACAGCAGCUAUCAUCCCAACUAGAGUCAUCAUCUCCACAGCCAACCGCAGACCCUUCAAUUUCUUCACAGCCCACCUCAGUUCUUCAUCAACCUCAACUAGGUGUGGUAGAGGAUGUACCAAGGGCAUUAUGGAGUAAGGUACUGGUACAAAGUUGGACAUACAAUUUGACGAAAAUUAUUGCCCAAUAGGGGAUAAUGUGUCUAAGUUAACUACUCAACUUGGCCUUAUUGUGUGCAAUGGUAACAUUGUUCCUCUUAUUUUUCUUGACUGGAUCACUGUGCCUGACGAUAUUAUUAAUACUAUCUGGAAGGAUGUAAAUGUAAAAAUAUAUUUUUGUCCAAAAAUUCAAAUUCCAAAAUUGUGUUAUUAUUAUUUAAACUUUUAAAUUGUGUUUUGUAGGACAAUUUGAAUGUAUGCCCAGAAGAGUAUUAGCCAAUCUGCAUGAAAACCUACAACAGCAUAUGGAAGGAUCACAAGAAUAAAAUUAAGACAAAGUAUUUCAAGCCUAGAAGUUUUGAUCCUAAUCUAAAGGAUGAUGUUUCUUUGCACAUUGUGCCAAGCCAGUGGAAAGAACUUGUAGAGUAUUGGCGCACUUUCGAUGCUAAGGAUGAGUUUAAUUGUCAACUCUUCAUGCUACCUGAGGAUUGCCAGACUUUAGAGGCUAGGAAUGCCAUUUUUCCAUGAGUUGAUAGGUCAUGACGAACGUGGAUAUUGUCGGACUUACGGGAGAACUGUGCCUCAAAGCGCGGUGUAUAAAGAUAGUGUUGGGCCAUCAUGGUCAACACCCUAGCCAUCGACUAUUGUUCAGAUCACCCAGCAUGUUCGUGCAGAGCUAAAGGAUGAAUUGAGGGAGGAGAUGCGUGCAAAGUUUUCUACACAUUUACAGCAGAUGAGAGCUGAGAUGAUGACCUUUGUGUCAUAGAGGGCGAGUCUGGAUCUCAACAGACAUGUUCGAUAUAAAUUAAAUUGUUUGAUAGUUAAAUUUUCAUACAACA